rnacentral:misc_RNA from 1 species
GACCCCACAGAUAAAUUCACACAUACAAAUAUACAUUAAAAAAAAAAAAAAAAAACUAGCCCUAAUAAUGAUUUUAUACUGGAGAGGGUGAGGGAGCAUGUAUCCAGCAAAGAGAACAUUUUCGUCCCUGUGCAACUGCAUGCGAAGAACAAAAAAAUUAUUAAAAAAGAGCAGAAAUUAGAGUUUGAUUAAGCUAUAAUCA